CCUGCCUUUCUGGGAACUAUUUUCUCCUCUGUUGGGGGCCGGGAAGAGUGACAGAAAUGCAUCUAGGUCCCUGAUGUAGGCAAGAUACAUUCAAAUACCACACUUAAGCCUCCUACGGCUGACAAGAGCCCUGAGUCCCCAGCUAUGGGACAGUCAGCCACUGCCCAGUCUGACAGUGUUUGUGGACUGGCUGCAGGACAUGGGAUGGGCAGGGCCAUAGACAGCAACUCUCCUGAAACACACACACGGUUCCAUUCAGAGGCAGUGUGGCUGGCAAGGGAAGGCCUCUCUGAUCUGCGGUCUACUCUCCUCUCACAGUGCCUUCGACCAUCCGUGCCAGAACUUCGGGGGCCAUCCUCGUGGGAACUUUCUCCAUCUCCAGGAUGCACUGAUGCUCCAGGGACCCAUGUCGUACGUGCAUGUGCAGAUGACUUCUGUGACACUGAAAUGGCAGUCAUGUCCUGCCCAUGCCCCACUUGGGGGCCAUGAAUGCAGCGAGCCCGAGCCUGAGCCCGGAGUGCCUUCGACCAUCCGUGCCAGAACUUCGGGGGCCAUCCUCGUGGGAACUUUCCCCAUCUCCAGGAUGCACUGAUGCUCCAGGGCCUGAACAGUUUCAUGGGUAUGAAAUGAUUUCCUUGAAUUUCAGAGCUGCUACCACCCUGCCCCUCCCCAGCUUGAGUUUAAGGAAUCCAUGGAGUACUAUCCAGAGGUCCAGAUUUAUGUGUGUCAGUUCCUGUGAGCCUGAGCUGAUGCCAUUAGUGUUUAAUGUAUGCACGAUUUCCUCAUCUGGGGCUGUCCAAGAGCAAAAGCACCUCAAGAGUGGCCAUCAGUUCUCUCAUUACAUAGAAGUGUUCCCUUGGUUGGGUGUGGUGGGUUUCUGUUUUUUACAUCUGUAUAGCUUGCGGUUAUUGUCUGCUCCUACAUGACACCAAAAUCCUGUCAUGCUGGAGAGCCCUUCUCCUCUUCAAACCUCACUGCCAUCUCCAUUGUCUGUGUCUAUCCUAGCUCCAGCUCCUGCUACAGCACCUGCACAGGAUGGUCUGGAGCUGCUUCCAUUUUCAGAUAUUAGACUAGGUUUGGAGUUUGAAGAAGCAUCAUGGUGCAUUUGUGGAACUCCAACCCUGAGUUUUCACUUCGUGUCUGUA
rnacentral:lncRNA from 1 species